rnacentral:tRNA from 1 species
GUUCCUGUGGCUCAAAGGAGUAGGGCGCUGGCCCCAUAUGCCAGAGGUGGCAGGUUCAAACCAGCCCUGGACA